rnacentral:lncRNA from 1 species
CAAAGUAGGAUAAUCCACUUAAGAAGAAAUAACAUGUAGCUAGCAAAAACUUUGGGCCUCUGCUCUCAUCUAUCUUGGAAUAUGGCCUUUAUUGCUACCACUUUCACUACUGCAUUGUUACCUCACACUAAAUAUACAUUAUGUUUCUAACUUAAAUCAUAACAUUCAUAAAGUUUUUUUUUUUAUUAUUAUUAAACACCAUAUCAAUUGAAAAGCAGAUAAAUAAAUACUACUAAAAAAUUAAAGUAGAUGAAAGAGAAAUGACUUUUUUUUUUAAUUAAAAAAAGGAAGAAUAAUAAGGUUUGGAAAAAGAAAAGACAAAAAGAAGGUGGCACGUGUACAAAUGUAGGACAGAACAAUGUAUUCAAGGGGGGCGGCGUAGAGGACGACUUCAAUUUUGGUACUUACUACUACUUAAGCAGUUUGGUACUACGUAGUAUAUUGUUCGGUAUAUUCUGUACUUGCUGUUAGUUCUUGAAGUCCCAGGAGUUGAUUAUGGUGAGUACUUUACUGCACUAAUUUGUUUGCAACAAACAGUUGAUUGGGUUUUUAGUGAUAAUUUAUUUGCUUAAUCACUUUGUUUUCUGAUGAAUUGUCAGGCAGGAAGUGGAGAGGAGUCAAAGAAGAUGAAGCUCUAUUCAUAUUGGAGGAGUUCAUGUGCAUUUCGUGUUCGAAUAGCACUCAAUUUGAAAGGUUCUUUUUUUAUUUUAUUUUAAAAUUAUUUUACGAUUGCUUUCUUUUUGAAACAAAAAUAAAAAAAUUAAAUAAAAGGAGUAUUGUUUAUUAACCCUCUUUUGUGUUUGUUGUUGUUAGGAUUGGAAUAUGAGUAUAAAGCUGUUGACUUGCUUAAAGGAGAACAGACGGACCCUGGUUUGUCUCUCCCCUUUUUCUUUGGUGUUUAGGUUUUUGAAAUGUUCAAACAUUUUUAUUUUAGCAAGUUACAAGGAAAUUAUAUAGGGACUUUUUGUUAAAUAGAUUUUUUAAGUCUAUUUUUUUAAUUAAAUGGAUCAUAAGUUUUUUUAUUACCCAUUUUUGAGACAGAUCUAUUAUCUGUUCAAUAGAUAUACAGACAGAUCGAUUAUCUCUGUCCGACAGAUGUAUAGAUAAAUCGAUUAUCAAUCCCACAGAUCCAUUAUCGAUCCGACUUAUAUAUAGACAGAUCGAUUAUCAGUCCAUUUUGCUGAUUGAAAACUUGAAGAGGGUAGGCCAUUUUGCUAAUUGGAAACUUGAAGAGUCUUAGUAGCCAAAUUUUCUCGAAAUUAUACUUGGGUGUGUUUGGUAUGCUGGAAAGUGUUUUCUCAGAAAUAAGUGUCUUUUUUUGCGUAUUUUCUUGUGUUAGAUAGUGCAAAGUAAAAAAUAUUGUAUCAACUAUGUUUGUAUAUAAUCUAAGCAAACACGGGACGGGGGGAGGGGCCUGUAAGAGAGUGGAGCGUAUUGGAGGGUGGGAAAGGGACAAUCAAUAUGGGAUGGGAUGACACUUGUGGAGCUUGUUAUCCAUUUUUCUUAUUUUUAGGACUUGUUUUCCAACAGAAAAUGUUUUUCAAAGAUUUUGACCAACCAAACAUUGGAAAAUUUGAAAAAACAUACUAAACACACCCUUAAUGGACAACAGAGAGUGUCUUAGUGUUUGUUAGUUAGACCGAUUGUAAUUAACUAGGAUCAAAGAUGGGAAAUUGGGUUGGGAGUAUUAAACAAAUUAUUGUAGAAUUCUUUUGAAACUUUGAUUCUUUCUUUUGGCCUUUGUUAUGUGUGGAAUAGAAUACUUGAAGCUGAAUCCCCUUGGAUACGUGCCCACGCUGGUUGAUGGAGAUGCAGUAAUUGCCGACUCUUUUGCUAUCAUAAUGGUAUGGUUACUUGUACUCUGCCAUUUGAGUGUGUAAAUUUUGUCAUUACUAUGUUGUUGGUGAUGAGAAGAUUUCUUGGGCAGUAUCUGGAAGAGAAGUAUCCCCUGCAAGCAUUGUUGCCGCAGGAUUGUCAGAAAAGAGCAAUCAACUAUCAGGUACAGAGGAAAAGUGGAUGAUGGUAUUUUUUUUCUUUUGCCAUCAAGAGCUUGAGUUCUUUAGUACUGAUUAGAAAAAACGAACUAAAGGUUUUUAGUACCGGGCCCUGAGGUCUUGAAUAUUUGAACUGCUGGAUCGAAAACUUUAUCUUGAGCCGAGGGUCUAUCGGAAACAACCUCUUUACUUUGUCAGAGGUAGCGGUAUUGGUAUGGACUGCGUACAUCUUACCCUCCCCAGACCCCACUUUGUGGGAAUACACUGGGUUUGUUGUUGUUGUUGUUGUUGAUCGAAAACUGAAUUUUAGUGUCCUCAUGCAGUGGAAUGAAAAUACUUGGUUAUCACCUGGAAGCUCUGCUGAAAUGCUUCCCUCCAUAUUGGAAAUGAACACGUUGCUUUUAAACCCAAUGUUGCUAAUUUGAUAUUAAAAGGAACUUAAGAAACCCGAUCGAUUCUUAUAAAAGAAAAUAAACCGUAGGAUGUUGAAUGAUUUAGCACAUCAUGCAAUUCUACUUGUUCUCAAUCUAUUUCCUGUUGAGGAUUCAAAGGAAACUGUGUGCGUCUUAGGUAUUAUCUUCUGAUGACUUAUAUAUACUGCUUCGUGUUGGAUAUUUUAGUAGUUCACUGUUUCAGCACUUAGAUGUGCGUUGAGUGACUAAUCUUACAUGGUUUCCUCUUCUCAAGUGUCCGUGAACUUAACUUUUUAGUAUUUCCAAGUCCAUCUUUUGUUGAGUCCAUGAGCAAAGUAGGAUAAUCCACUUAAGAAGAAAUAACAUGUAGCUAGCAAAAACUUUGGGCCUCUGCUCUCAUCUAUCUUGGAAUAUGGCCUUUAUUGCUACCACUUUCACUACUGCAUUGUUACCUCACACUAAAUAAGCUGCUGGAAAGUGACAAAUUUUAAUUCUUCUGAAUUCCUAUAUCCCUUUCUCUACCUUUACGCUGGUCUCCU